UAGUAGUUAGAAUUCGAAGCAGGAAUCAAGAUUUUCACCAGUCGGCAAUCUCGAACCUGUUUAUCUGUAAGCUGAGACCUCCUGCUAGGAAAAGUUUAGUUGGUGAUAUUUUUUCCUCCCCGUUGUGAGGUCCUGACCUUUUCUACAAUAUGAGUAAUGAAGGCUGGAGAUGGUCAGUAGAUGUCACUUACAAGGCACAUCUUGGGAGUGAUGCUGGAGGUGGCAGGGAUAUCAAGUCUUCAUUAUACACUACCUGGUCCUUAACAAACCUGCAGAUGUUUUUGAGGUCUGGAAGCUGAUGAGUCCAGCUGCAGCAGGAGUGAUAGCAGCAACCAGAGCCAACAGAUUCAGGUCCUGCAAAUAUAAGAAGAUAUAUAUAUUAAUAUGCCAGGUGAGCAAGAGCAAUAACAAAAUUUAUGUAUAGUAAACAUAUCCCUCUUCUCCUCAUCACCCAUUUAACCAUACUGUAAAAAUCAGUUACGCCAUAGAACCCUACGUACAGUUGGUUCCAAGGAUUUUUGUACGCAUCCCUGCAAGGUGAGGGGCAAAAAAUCUGGCAUAACCACACAACAGCAGGACAUCCCCAAGGUUAUGAAAGCUGUCAACAGUGUUGCUUGAGAAACUUGUCAUGUAAUUGUCUAGGCAGUGUUAGCAACAGCCAUUGCCAAGUCAUUAGGGAGCUUUAAGAGGAGAAGAUUAGGCAAUCUAUUUAUGGAUGGGGAGGAUUGAUGGAAAUAGGUAUUUUUCAUACAGGAGGCAUUUUUCAUACAGGGACUGCCACAUGUAGGCCUGAUGGCUUCUUGCAGUUUCCCUUGUUUUCAAUAUUCUUAUGUUCUCCAUCCCUGUUACCCGAAACUUGGGGGACAUUGUGUGGUUAUGCCAGAUACCACCCUCACCUUGCUGUGAUUUUCCAGAAUUGUUCCAAGCCAACUGUACCUCUCCUUCAUUUGCAACUCAUUUAUAUUUUCUUCUUUCACAACUUAUGUUAUACUAUACUCUCAUCCCUGAACAUUUAUGCAUGAAGCCUCACCAUUCUUGAUCUCCAUCUUAUUCCCUUCAAAUCUAUAUAAAGCCCUUUCUCUUCUAUCUACAUUUCCAUUAGUCUUUUUUAGUUAUUGCUUACAAUAUAUAAAACUAAUAGUACAACAAAUGCCUCAUAUACAUACCCAAGUUUGGCUCAUUUGACCUUUUUUUUGUCCCUCACACCUGUUCUGCAAGUGUACAGGUAGACCAUCAUGGUGAUGCCUCAUAUACAUAACCAAGUUUGGCUCAUUUGGCCUUUUUUUGUUCUUUUUUUGUCCCUCACACCUGUUCUGCAAGUGUACAGGUAGACCAUCAUGGUGAUGGAAGUUUGUUAAUAACAUCCUAUAUAAAAAACCUGUUCCUUAACAUUCUUUAUGAAUGUUAACAUAACUAAUUAUUCAUCACAAAUGAAAAUAAGAACAUUAUCAGUAUUCAUUUUCUAAUUUUAGUCACCUAUGGCAGCUUUCUUCUACCUCCAAUUGUAGUGUUAGGCUGGGCAAUCACACUUCUUAUACCUAUAUUAAUGACAAACUAGCAUAAAACAUUGUGCCAAAGUGUAACAAAAUAAAUAUAUAUAUA